rnacentral:rRNA from 1 species
CCUACGGGUGGCUGCAGUGGGGAAUAUUGCACAAUGGGCGCAAGCCUGAUGCAGCCAUGCCGCGUGUGUGAAGAAGGCCUUCGGGUUGUAAAGCACUUUCAGCGGGGAGGAAGGCGUUAAGGUUAAUAACCUUGUCGAUUGACGUUACCCGCAGAAGAAGCACCGGCUAACUCCGUGCCAGCAGCCGCGGUAAUACGGAGGGUGCAAGCGUUAAUCGGAAUUACUGGGCGUAAAGCGCACGCAGGCGGUCUGUCAAGUCGGAUGUGAAAUCCCCGGGCUCAACCUGGGAACUGCAUUCGAAACUGGCAGGCUAGAGUCUUGUAGAGGGGGGUAGAAUUCCAGGUGUAGCGGUGAAAUGCGUAGAGAUCUGGAGGAAUACCGGUGGCGAAGGCGGCCCCCUGGACAAAGACUGACGCUCAGGUGCGAAAGCGUGGGGAGCAAACAGGAUUAGAUAACCCGGUAGUC